GUCUCUUAUUGGAUUUAUUUCACCAAGUGGUGAAUAUAAAAAUAGGAUGAAAACAAUGCAGGGAAAUCUAGAGACCAUUGUUUUUUUUUAACUUAAUUGCGUUCAUUGUUUGUAAUAAAAAUGAAAUCCAUAACAGAUAAAAAAAAAUGCAUUUAAGAGCUUUGUGCCUUUCUUUGCCCGGCAAACGAGAGAAAACAAAGUCGGUAUCUUUGGGAUUCGUCUCAUGGGCUAAUAAUUAUACAUAUAAUUUGUCUACUACAUCAAAAGCCUAUAAAUAAUAUUUCCUCGUAUUUAUAUGCUGAAGUAGCAUUUAAGAUUGGGGUGAGGGGGGGGGGCUCUAUUUUACACUCAGAAAAAGGUCAAAAGAAAAAGACAAAUCAGAACGUACCACAAAGGUUCAAAGCGCCGGUCACGAUUCUCUGUAAAAUAAAACUGUAUUCGUGCAACUACAUUUAACAAAGGAAAAGAAAAGUACCACAUAUAUAACCUUCAGAAUAUCUUCAACUUUAGCAUGAGUUUGUACAAUUUUGCAUGUUUUUAUAUGUUUUCUAUUUCAACUGUAGUCCUCGGGGCCGGUACAAUGUCCCCCCCCUGUAUCAGCGACUCUGUCCAGUCUUUGUGUCAUGCCGCGCUCCGGCCUCGAGGGCCACAGUGCCCCCUGGUGGGAGCAGCGCUCCGGCCUCGAGGGCCACAGCGCCCCCCUGGUGGGAGCAGCGCCCCCUGGUGGGAGCAGCGCUCCGGCCUCGAGGGCCACAGCGCCCCCCUGGUGGGAGCAGCGCUCCGGCCUCGAGGGCCACAGCGCCCCCUGGUGGGAGCAGCGCCCCCUGGUGGGAGCAGCGCUCCGGCCUCGAGGGCCACAGCGCCCCCCUGGUGGGAGCAGCGCUCCGGCCUCGAGGGCCACAGCGCCCCCUGGUGGGAGCAGCGCCCCCUUGUGGGAGUCCAUUCACCGUCCGUCUCCGUGAUGCGACCAGAAAACCUCCGUUGGGACACCUGGCUCCGCCCCCACAUCCGGCUCCGCCCAAACAAGACCGGCUACCCUUCAGAGGUCCGGCUCCGCCCUCACAGGCCCGGCUCCGUCCCCACGGGUCCGGCUCCGCCCCCAUAGACCCGGCUCCGCCCCCACGUGCCCGGCUCCGCCCCCACAGGCCCGGUCAUCUUUGGUAUCGGGGGACAGUGGAAUGCAUAGUGCAGAGACGCCGUGAGGAGGCCGCGGGUUUGAGUCCGGCCCGCCGUUCGGACUCAGCAGAGGGUCAGCCGGGGGGGGGGGGGGGGGGGUGGGUUCCCACUGCAGGGCCGUGAGGGGGAGGAGGGGGGGAGCUUCCUGCGUCCAGGAAGGAAGGAUCCCGCCAGCGUCGGACCGUCUGACUCACAAGAAUGUCGUAUUUGUGGCGGCCGGGCUCCUGCCCCCCCUCUCUUUUCUGGCAGGCUGUCUGUGACCAGCUGUCUGCUUUAUUUUCUCCCCUCUAAAAUGUCUCUCUCUCUCUAGCUUGAUCCCCCGCCCCCUCCCUCCAUUUUCCCUCAUUUCUUUGGAUUCUCUCGGCGCCGC
ensembl:lncRNA